UGAGGAAUAUUGGGCAAUGGGGGAAACCCUGACCCAGCAACGCCGCGUGAAGGAAGAAGGUUUUCGGAUCGUAAACUUCUAUCCUUGGUGAAGAGAAGAAGACGGUAGCCAAGAAGGAAGCCCCGGCUAACUACGUGUCAGCAGCCGCGGUAAUACGGAGGGUGCAAGCGUUGUCCGGAAUCAUUGGGCGUAAAGCGUUCGUAGGCGGUAUAUCAAGUCCGGUGUCAAAGCCCAAAGCUCAACUUUGGAUCCGCACUGGAUACUGGUAAACUAGAAUGUGGUAGAGGUAAAGGGAAUUCCUGGUGUAGCGGUGAAAUGCGUAGAUAUCAGGAGGAACACCGGUGGCGAAAGCGCUUUACUGGACCAUAAUUGACGCUGAGGAACGAAAGCCGGGGGAGCAAAUG
rnacentral:rRNA from 1 species